ACAGGUUUGCGCCUGUAUAAAUAGGUAUUAAGCGCAAAGCGGUGCGGAUGUGUUUAAACACAUUUGCGCGUUACA
rnacentral:ribozyme from 1 species